UACGGAGGGAGCUAGCGUUGUUCGGAAUUACUGGGCGUAAAGCGCACGCAGGCGGACUAGUAAGUGGGUCGUGAAAGCGCCCGGCUAAACCGGGCGAGGACGAUUCAGACUGCCGGUCUAGAGUCGGAUAGAGGAGUGCGGAAUUCCGGGUGUAGCGGUGAAAUGUGUAGAGAUCCGGAGGAACACCAGUGGCGCAAGCGGCGCUCUGGGUCCGAACUGACGCUGAGGUGCGAAAGCGUGGGGAGCGAACGGG
rnacentral:rRNA from 1 species